rnacentral:rRNA from 1 species
UACGUAGGGUGCAAGCGUUGUCCGGAAUUAUUGGGCGUAAAGAGCUCGUAGGCGGUUUGUCGCGUCUGCUGUGAAACGCGAGGCUCAACCUCGCGCCUGCAGUGGGUACGGGCAGACUAGAGUGCGGUAGGGGAGAUUGGAAUUCCUGGUGUAGCGGUGGAAUGCGCAGAUAUCAGGAGGAACACCGAUGGCGAAGGCAGAUCUCUGGGCCGUUACUGACGCUGAGGAGCGAAAGCAUGGGGAGCGAACAGG